rnacentral:rRNA from 1 species
GGGCUUUGUUUGCGCAGGAUAGGUGGGAGGCGUUGAAAGUUUUCUUGCGGGAAGAUUUGAGCCAUUGGUGAGAUACCACUCUAACAAUGCUAGGAUUCUAACCCUAUGUCGUUAUCCGGCUAGGGGACAGUUUCAGGUGGUCAGUUUGACUGGGGCGGUCGCCUCCUAAAAGGUAACGGAGGCGUGCAAAGGUUCCCUCAGGCUGAUUGGAAAUCAGUCGUAGAGUGUAAAGGCAUAAGGGAGCUUGAUUGUGAGACCUACAAGUCGAACAAAGACGAAAGUCGGCCUUAGUGAUCCGGCGGUACCGAGUGGAAGGGCCGUCGCUCAACGGAUAAAAGUUACUCUAGGGAUAAC